rnacentral:rRNA from 1 species
AUUAAAAAUUUAUUAUUAAAUGUUUAUUUUUUUUUUGUUUAAUAAAAAUAAUUUUAUUAAUUUAUUUUUUAAGUAUAUUUUAUAGAAAAAAUUUUGUUAAUUAUAGUUUAUUUGUAUUGUAAAAGAUAAUUGAAAUAGUAUAUUAAUUAUUUAAAAGUAAAAUUUAAUUUUUGUACCUUGUGUAUCAGGGUUUAUUAAAUAAAUAUUAAUUAUUUUAAUUUUCUCGAUUUUAAGAGAGCUAAUAAAAUAUUUUUUUUAUUGUAAAAAAACUAUUUAAAAUAUUUUAUUGGUAAUGAAAUGUUAUUCGUUCUUAAAAAUAUCUAGUUUAUUUAGAAAUGAAUUUAAUUCAAAUAUUUUAAUUUUAAUAAGUUAAUUUAUUAAUUUAUUAAAUUUUAAUAUUAAUAAUUAAAGGGAUAAGCUUUUAAUUAAAAAUUUAUAAGUUAGAUAAUAAUUUUAGAAAAUGUAAGUUUAGAAAUAUCUAUCAAUAAUAAUUUGUUAUAAUUAAUUUAAUAUUAAAAUAUUAUUUUAUAUAACUUUAAAUUUUUUAUAAAUAAAUAAUUUUUAAUUUUAUAAAAUUAGAUAUAAUGAUAGAAUUAGUAUACAUUUUAAAUAUUUAAAUAAUAGUAUAAAAAAGAUUAUUUAAAGGAAUUCGGCAAAAAUUUUACUCGCCUGUUUAACAAAAACAUGUCUUUUUGAUAUAUAUAUAAAGUCUAGCCUGCCCACUGAAAUUUUUAAAUGGCCGCAGUAUUUUGACUGUGCAAAGGUAGCAUAAUCAUUAGUUUUUUAAUUAAAAGCUCGUAUGAAAGGUUGGACGAAGUAAAAUCUGUCUCUAUUUAAUUUAAAUUAGAAUUUAAUUUUUAAGUUAAAAAGCUUAAAUUUUAAUAAAAGACGAGAAGACCCUAUAGAGCUUUAUAAUUUAUUUAAUAUAAUUAAUUAAGAUUAAUUUAGAUUUUAUUAAUAUAAUUAUUUUAUUGGGGUAAUAGGAAGAUUAAAUAAAUUCUUUUUUUUUAUUUACAUUGAUUUAUGAAAUAAAUGAUCCAUUUUUAAUGAUUAUAAGAUUAAGUUACCUUAGGGAUAACAGCGUAAUUUUUUUAGAGAGUUCAUAUCGAUAAAAAAGUUUGCGACCUCGAUGUUGGAUUAAAGAUUAGUUUAGGUGUAGAAGUUUAAAUUUUUGGUCUGUUCGACCAUUAAAUCUUUACAUGAUCUGAGUUCAGACCGGUGUAAGCCAGGUCGGUUUCUAUCUUUAUUUAAUAAAAAUAUUUUAGUACGAAAGGACCAAAUAUUUAAUAUAUUUAUAUUUAUCUU